GAGGAGGGAAGAUAUAUAUAUGAGAGAGGAGGUACAUUCUCUCCAUAAGUUUCCUUUGCCUCCCACGAGCUCCUCCUCUUUCUCCUCCUCCACCCACAUCAUGACAAAGCCGGCCAGAAUGGUGUUUCAUGGAAUGGUGGUGAUAAUUGCUAUGGUGAUGGUGAUGAUGGUGGCGGUGGAGUCUGCCCACACCACCACCACUAAACACCGGCACCACCACCGCUCACCACCACCACCACCACCGCCUCGUCAUCUCCACUCCCCCUCCAAGAAGACACGCCCGUACGCCUACAAGUAUGAGGUGGUGGAGGGCAAGGGGGGUAAGGCAGGGGGGAGCGGGGGGCCCCGGCAGGGGCGGGGGGAGGCCUCGGAUGGACAGGUCGUCAAGGGCGUCUAUUACCUUGACUUGCCUGACGGGCGGCGGCAGACGGUGCGUUACCUUGCGGAUCACGUGCUUGGUUUUGUGGCGGAUGUGGAAUAUGAGGGGGAGGCCUACCACCCCUAUCCCGCCCCACCUCCCCGACACAGCUAGGCCUCCUCUCCCCUCUAAAUAAGCCACUUUCCCCAGUCCCAUAUACAUUGAACUCCCUGCCCUAUCUUUCAUUUCCUAUUUCCUACCAAACAGCCCCUAUAAUAACGUCACACCCGCAGCAAAUAUAGCCCACCAUAUCCUACCUCGACAGACCCUUCCCCCAGAAUAGCCCCUGUCAUGCUUUUAUAUACGCAGCCCCUUAACACUCUCUUCUCAAAACCAGUCCCCAAAAUAUUAGCCAUUCCCUCAAAUAAAAGCACGAGGACUGUCAUAUGUAAGUAAAUAGGUGUGUGUGUGUGUGUGUGUGUGUGUGUGUGUGUGUGUGUGUGUGUGUGUGUGUGUGUGUGUGUGUGUGUGUGUGUGUGUGUGUGUGCACCUAUAAAUGCGAAACAAUUAAUUUUCACGUCCAUAUGUACACCAGUGACCCGGAACGUGUGCACAUGACCGUCUGUGUGUGUGUGUGUGUGUGUGUGUGUGUGUGUGUGUGUGUGUAAUAAUCUCCUUUACCUCACACAAGUUUAGUAUAUAAUCAUGUUCACGUGUAAUUAUCAUGUAUAUGUAUAUAAUAGUGUUUGUGUAUAAAACCCGUUUGUAAUUAAGUUGUUAUCAUAUGGUUGAUAUUUUUUAAGUGUUAUGUUAAUAUAUCGAAAUGUGAAAAAAAAUAAAAAGGUAUUAUCAUUAUUGUUUUUAAUAUUACAAUCAUCGAAAAUAUAAGUUCAGAACCUAUACAUAAAAAUCAAACAUUUUUAGAAAUCUAUAGAG